rnacentral:rRNA from 1 species
UACGGAGGGUGCAAGCGUUAUCCGGAUUCACUGGGUUUAAAGGGUGCGUAGGAGGGCAGGUAAGUCAGUGGUGAAAUCCCCGAGCUUAACUUGGGAACUGCCGUUGAUACUAUCUGUCUUGAAUACCGUGGAGGUGAGCGGAAUAUGUCAUGUAGCGGUGAAAUGCUUAGAUAUGACAUAGAACACCAAUUGCGAAGGCAGCUCGCUACACGAAUAUUGACUCUGAGGCACGAAAGCGUGGGGAUCAAACAGGGA